rnacentral:rRNA from 1 species
UACGUAGGUGGCGAGCGUUAUCCGGAAUUAUUGGGCGUAAAGAGGGAGCAGGCGGCAAUUAGGGUCUGUGGUGAAAGACUGAAGCUCAACUUCAGUAAGCCAUGGAAACCGAAUAGCUAGAGUGCAUUAGAGGAUCGUGGAAUUCCAUGUGUAGCGGUGAAAUGCGUAGAUAUAUGGAGGAACACCAGUGGCGAAGGCGACGAUCUGGGAUGCAACUGACGCUCAGUCCCGAAAGCGUGGGGAGCAAAUAGG